CCUACGGGUGGCAGCAGUGGGGGAUAUUGCACAAUGGGGGAAACCCUGAUGCAGCGACGCCGCGUGAGUGAAGAAGGAUUUCGGUAUGUAAAGCUUUAUCAGCAGGGAAGAAAAUGACAGUACCUGACCAGGAAGCCCCGGCUAACUACGUGCCAGCAGCCGCGGUAAUACGUAGGGGGCAAGCGUUAUCCGGAUUUAUUGGGUGUAAAGGGUGCGUAGACGGGUAAGUAAGUUAGGAGUGAAAGCCCGGGGCCCAACGCGGGGACUGCAGUGGAAACUGAGUAACUGGAGUACAGGAGGGGCAGGUGGAAUUCCUGGUGUAGCGGUGAAAUGCGUAGAUAUCAGGAGGAACACCGGCGGCGAAGGCGGCCUUCUGGACUGAAACUGACGUUGAGGCUCGAAAGCGUGGGGAGCAAACAGGAUUAGAUACCCUUGUAGUC
rnacentral:rRNA from 1 species